CUUCCCAAACACUGACGGCUCCUGUUGACACAGACUUGAAAAUUCUGAGCGCUCAUGGACAUAUUAGCAUACUACAAAUAUCUAAAGGGGCUGUGAAAUAUCACUGAGAAGAAUGGUUCUUCUCAGGCCACUGAUUUGUGGAAGAGAGCAGGUCAGCAGUCCUGUAGAAUGUUCCAGAUAAGCUUUCACAUGCCCUUUGGAGAGUCACAUCCUAUUCUGAGAACCCCCAUUGUCUGAGCCAGCCCAUGGGGAGCACAGGCUUCAGGUUCUAAGCUCGGUGGUCUGGGAAGUCCCGGGAAGAGAAGAACUGAGCCACGGUCCCAGGAAGAGAAAAACAGAUAGUGGCCAGGCUCCAUGUGUGCCCGCCCUGCUCUCCUCAUCUCCCAUGGAUCCAUGUUCCUGAUCCUCACAGCUCUAGUCGUAUUCUCCACUUUCUGCAGAUGGGAUUUAAACCCAGGUCUUCUGGGUCCAGCGUUCCUGCUCUUAAUCAUCCAGGCCUAAGGACACGGGUUGAAAGUCAUUCACUGCUGCCUCUGGAGGUUGAGUUGUUUUAAAGUGCUGCGAUCUACUAAGUCUUCAGAAAUUAGUUGAUCCAACCGUAAUCUUCUGAGCACAUGAGCUUUCUUUUCUUGAAGACUCAUUACACUUUCCUUCAGCUUGUUCUCGGCAGGAUGAGUGACUGCCCGUCCUGGAGGCCUCCUCAGAAGCCUCAUACCUGGCUCUCCGAUGGAGCCCACGGUUCUUCUGUACUUCCUCCCUAUGGUUCCUGGGCCUGGAGUGUGGGCUGGACAGGGCAAGGCCUGGAUUGUGUUCAUUAAACAAGAAGAUAAGCUCAUGGUUACCACAGGGAUGUUCUGUUUGUGCCCCUGCUAGGGUUUUGCUUGGCUUUGGAAGCCUUUCAUGUGCCCCGAAUGCUAUAAACCCUUGCAAUAAAUGUGAAGUGUAUAUAGUUUCUGCUACUUAUGGGAGGCAUUGAGGGAGUUAAGCACAGUGGCUUUUGUGUCUGCAGAUUUGAGCUGAAAUUCCAGUUCUGCAGCAUAGGGCUUAACAGGUUCACUCCCCUUCCCCAUCCUCUCAUCCCCCAGGGCUUUACUCUCUCUUCCUUCCACCUGGAUAGAUGCCCUUCUCAUCUUCACACAGCAGAACACUGCUUGUUCUGAGAGCUCGCCCUGCUGAUUCUUCUUCCAUGAGUCAGAAAGCCCACUUCACUUAUAGGAUGAGAACAUGGAUUUAAAAUCAGACAAAUCUGGGUUCAUACCGUCCUUUUGCUAGCUAGACAAUGAUUGGAGUUUGUCAGUUUCCUUGAGAAAAAAAGGGAUAAUGAUAUUCCUACCUUUUAAGGUAAUGGCAGACAUUAGGAAAAUAUAAACAUAAAAUUAUUAGUAGAGAUUUGAUGAGUAGCCAGUGCUCAGUAAUAACUAGGCAAUUCUUGAUUGUGUCUGAAUGAGUUUGUGAGUGCAUAUGAGAGUGUGUGUAUGUGAGUGUUAUGCGUGCUCACACAUGUGUCUGGUAAAGGGCAGAUAUUCAUAUAGCUGCUCAGGUUGGUGGAAAUAAUUUCUUUUUACUUUUAUUCUAUUGUUCCUCCCAGGACUGAGUUUCUGGCCUGUCUCACUUUUGACGUCUAAUAUUGCGUUGGUUAAGAGUGCCUUCUCUCUCCCCCACUCUACAGAUAUUCAGAAGUAACUGUGAAGUAAUUGUGGAUGGGAUCCAUGUCUACUUGAUGGAGUUUCGCUCUUGUUGCCCAGGCUGGAGUGCAAUUGUGCAAUCUUGGCUCACCGCAACCUCCGCCUCCGGGGUUCAAGCUAUUCCUCUGCCUCAGCCUCCCAAGUAGCUGGGAUCACAGGCAUGCACCACCUCGCCUGGCUAAUUUUUUUUUUUUUUUUUAAGUAGAGAUGAUAUUUCUCCAUGUUGGUCAGGCUGGUCUUGAACUCCCGACCUCAGGUGAUCGCUCACCUCAGCCUCCCAAAGUGCUAGGAUUAUAAGCGUGAGCCACUGCUCCGAGCCAGGAAUGAUGCUUUCUAAACAAUUCCACGUGCACGGCAACAGCAGGAAGUGCCCGUUUGUGACAUUUCCCUGGGCCAGAUAAAGAAAGCAUCUGCUUGUGUUGUGUUGUGCCUGUCUCCAUUAGAAGGUGUAGCCAUAGGACAAAGUACAGGAUGUUUGUCAUUUCAAUCUCAAGCACACCUUGAAACUUGAGAUGAAAGUUUGUUGAAAACAGACAACUUACUCAUUAAAGCCAGGAAACGCCUUUUUCUCCCAGAGUCACAUGCUCUGUCUUGGAGAGUUGGCCUAAAAUUACUUAGUGACACUGGCUACUUUUGUUUAAAUGCUAAAAAUUGUUUACUGAAGAUUCACUUGAAGGGUCAAGGGAUUAGCAAGACAAAUAUAGUUAGAAAAAUACCUACUCUGUGCUUUUGGAUGCAGGGUGCUUUCUGAGAAGUCCCAGAAAGGAAAAUUCUAUUCUCAGAGGCCAGUGAACUUUAGGAGAAAUCAGGCUAGUCACUGGGGCUUCUCUC
rnacentral:lncRNA from 10 species